GCCGGAAUAGCUCAGUUGGGAAAGCGUUAGACUGAAGUUUUUACGCAACAAUCAUCUAGAGGCCCCCGGUUCAAUCCCAGCUUCCGGCA
rnacentral:tRNA from 1 species